GACGAACGCUGGCGGCGGGCUUAACACAUGCAAGUCGAACGGAAAGGCCCUGCUUUUGUGGGGUGCUCGAGUGGCGAACGGGUGAGUAACACGUGAGUAACCUGCCCUUGACUUUGGGAUAACUUCAGGAAACUGGGGCUAAUACCGGAUAGGAGCUCCUGCUGCAUGGUGGGGGUUGGAAAGUUUCGGCGGUUGGGGAUGGACUCGCGGCUUAUCAGCUUGUUGGGGGGGUAGUGGCUUACCAAGGCUUUGGCGGGUAGCCGGCCUGAGAGGUUGAACAGCCACCUUGGGACUGAGAUACGGCCCAGACGCCUACGGUGGGCAGCAGUGGGGAAUAUUGCACAAUGGGCGGAAGCCUGAGGCAGCAACGCCGCGUGCGGGAUGACGGCCUUCGGGUUGUAAACCGCUUUCGCCUGUGACGAAGCGUUAGUGACGGUAAUGGGUAAAGAAGCACCGGCUAACUACGUG
rnacentral:rRNA from 1 species